rnacentral:tRNA from 1 species
AAAAUUUAGUUAAUGAACUUGUAUAAGUAUAUACUUUGAAAGUAUAAAAAAGAAAUUAUAAUUUUCUAUUAACUUUAGUACUAAAUUUAAUUAGUUAAAUAGCGGAGCUAAGUAAAAAUAAUCUUAGCCCAAAAUAAAAUAUUAAUAAAUUUAAAGAUACCGGUAAAUAGCUCUUUCAAGCUAAAUAUAUUAA